CCUUUCCAUCUGUAUUACAUGCUAGCUCCCUGCUGAUAAAUCGCCCAAACUUCUCGAUUGACGAGCCUUAAACCAUCUGAGAGUAGCUCCUAAGUCUGGAUUUCACUGUAUAGACACUUUGUGACGGCGUCCACCCCUUUCACCGUGGCUUUCUCACCGAUUGUUGCUGCACCGUGUAGAGUAGGAGAGGGUGAACCACCGCCAUCCUGGGAUUUAGUUGCAACACCCGACUUCACACAAUUUAGACAGCAGCUUGAAGGUAUCCUGACUUCAUUGUCCUUUAGCAAG